CCUACGGGAGGCAGCAGUGGGGAAUUUUGGACAAUGGGCGCAAGCCUGAUCCAGCUAUUCCGCGUGUGGGAUGAAGGCCCUCGGGUUGUAAACCACUUUUGUCGAGGACGAACAGACACCUUUUAAUAAAGUGUGUUGCUGACGGUACUCUCAGAAUAAGCACCGGCUAACUACGUGCCAGCAGCCGCGGUAAUACGUAGGGUGCGAGCGUUAAUCGGAUUUACUGGGCGUAACGGGCACGCAGGCGGUUGAGUAAGACAGAUGUGAAAUCCCCGAGCUUAACUCGGGAAUGGCAUAUGUGACUGGUAGACUAGAGUGCGUCAGAGGGAGGUGGAAUUCCACGUGUAGCAGUGAAAUGCGUAGAUAUGGGGAAGAACACCGAUGGCGAAGGCAGCCUCAUGGGACAGAACUGACGUUCAGGCACGAAAGCGUGGGGAGCAAACAGGAUUAGAUACCCGGGUAGUC
rnacentral:rRNA from 1 species